CCUACGGGUGGCUGCAGUGGGGAAUAUUGGGCAAUGGGCGAAAGCCUGACCCAGCAACGCCGCGUGAAGGAAGAAGGCUUUCGGGUUGUAAACUUCUUUUGACAGGGAAGAGCAGAAGACGGUACCUGUCGAAUAAGCCACGGCUAACUACGUGCCAGCAGCCGCGGUAAUACGGAGGAUGCGAGCGUUAUCCGGAUUCAUUGGGUUUAAAGGGUGCGCAGGCGGGCCUUUAAGCCGGCGGUGAAAUCGCGGGGCUCAACCCCGCCGAGCCGUCGGAACUGGGGGCCUUGAGUGCGGCGGAGGCAUGCGGAAUGCGCGGUGUAGCGGUGAAAUGCAUAGAUAUCGCGCAGAACCCCGAUUGCGAAGGCAGCGUGCCGUGCCGCCACUGACGCUGAGGCACGAAAGCGCGGGGAUCGAACAGGAUUAGAUACCCCGGUAGUC
rnacentral:rRNA from 1 species